UACGUAGGUGGCGAGCGUUGUCCGGAUUUACUGGGCGUAAAGCGCGCGCAGGCGGGCCGGUCAGUCCGGGGUGAAAUCUCACGGCUCAACCGUGAGGGGUCCUCGGAUACUGCCGGUCUUGAGGUGCCUAGAGGAGAGUGGAAUUCCCGGUGUAGUGGUGGAAUGCGUAGAUAUCGGGAGGAACACCAGUGGCGAAAGCGGCUCUCUGGGGGCGACCUGACGCUGAGGCGCGAAAGCGUGGGGAGCGAACCGG
rnacentral:rRNA from 1 species